rnacentral:rRNA from 1 species
UACGGAGGAUGCAAGCGUUAUCCGGAAUGAUUGGGCGUAAAGCGUCCGCAGGUGGCUGUGUAAGUCUGCUGUCAAAGAGCAAAGCUCAACUUUGUAAAGGCAGUGGAAACUACACGGCUAGAGUGCGUUCGGGGCAGAGGGAAUUCCUGGUGUAGCGGUGAAAUGCGUAGAGAUCAGGAAGAACACCGGUGGCGAAGGCGCUCUGCUAGGCCGCAACUGACACUGAGGGACGAAAGCUGGGGGAGCGAAUGGG